rnacentral:rRNA from 1 species
AUUGAACGCUGGCGGCAUGCCUUACACAUGCAAGUCGAACGGCAGCACGGGAGCUUGCUCCUGGUGGCGAGUGGCGAACGGGUGAGUAAUGCAUCGGAACAUGCCCACGAGAGGGGGAUAACGUAGCGAAAGUUACGCUAAUACCGCAUAGUCUCUGAGGAGUAAAGCGGGGGACCGUAAGGCCUCGCGCUUAUGGAAUGGCCGAUGUCGGAUUAGCUAGUUGGUGGGGUAAAGGCCUACCAAGGCGACGAUCCGUAGCAGGUCUGAGAGGAUGAUCUGCCACACUGGGACUGAGACACGGCCCAGACUCCUACGGGAGGCAGCAGUGGGGAAUUUUGGACAAUGGGGGCAACCCUGAUCCAGCCAUGCCGCGUGAGUGAAGAAGGCCUUCGGGUUGUAAAGCUCUUUCAGCCGGGAAGAAAUCGCGUAGGUGAAUAGCCUGCGUGGAUGACGGUACCGGACUAAGAAGCACCGGCUAACUACGUGCCAGCCGCCGCCGUAAAAC